UGGGGAAUCUUCCGCAAUGGACGAAAGUCUGACGGAGCAACGCCGCGUGUAUGAUGAAGGUCUUCGGAUUGUAAAGUACUGUCAUUGGGGAAGAACGGUUUUCUUGAAAAGAUUGAGAAGACAUGACGGUACCCAAGGAGGAAGCCCCGGCUAACUACGUGCCAGCAGCCGCGGUAAUACGUAGGGGGCAAGCGUUGUCCGGAAUUAUUGGGCGUAAAGGGCGCGUAGGCGGGCCUUUAAGUCCGGUGUGAAAGAUCAGGGCUCAACCCUGAGAGUGCAUCGGAAACUGGAGGCCUUGAGGACAGGAGAGGAAAGUGGAAUUCCACGUGUAGCGGUGAAAUGCGUAGAUAUGUGGAGGAACACCAGUGGCGAAGGCGACUUUCUGGACUGUAACUGACGCUGAGGCGCGAAAGCGUGGGGAGCAAACAGGAUUAGAUACCCUGGUAGUCCACGCCGUAAACGAUGAGUGCUAGGUGUAGAGGGUAUCGACCCCUUCUGUGCCGCAGUUAACACAAUAAGCACUCCGCCUGGGGAGUACGGCCGCAAGGUUGAAACUCAAAUGAAUUGACGGGGUCAUAGCU
rnacentral:rRNA from 1 species